GACGAAGGUGGCGACCGUUGUUCGGAAUCACUGGGCAUAAAGAGCUCGUAGGCGGUGAGAAAAGUAGGGUGUGAAAUCCCUCGGCCCGAACCGAGGAACUGCGCUCUAAACUAGUCUUGCUUGAGGACCGAACGGGGACCGACGGAAUUCCUGGUGGAGCGGUGAAAUGCGUUGAUAUCAGGAGGAACACCGGCGGCGAAGGCGGUGGUCUGGUC
rnacentral:rRNA from 1 species